ensembl:lncRNA
GGGGACAUUUUGGGGACAAUUCUGGGGAUUUUGGGGACAUUUUGGGGACAAUUCUGGGGAUUUUGGGGCCAUUUGGGGACAUUUUGUGACAUUUUGGGGACAAUUGUUGGGAUUUGGGGCAAUUUUGUGACAUUUUGGGGACAAUUCUGGGGAUUUUGGGGACAUUUUGGGGACAAUUUUGGCGAUUUGGGGCCAUUUGGGGACAUUUUGGGGACAAUUCUGGGGAUUAUGGGGACAAUUCUGGGGAUUUGGGGACAUUUUGGGGACAAUUCUGGGGAUUUGGGGCCAUUUUGUGACAUUUUGGGGACAAUUCUGGGGAUUUUGGGGCCAUUUUUGGGGCAAUUCUGGGGAUUUGGGGACAAUUAAGGGGAUUUGGGGACAUUUUGGGGACAAUUCUGGAGAUUUGGGGACAUUUUGAGGACAAUUCUGGGGAUUUUGGGUCGUUUUGGGGACAAUUCUGGAGAUUUGGGGACAUCUUGGGGGCAAUUCUGAGGAUUUGGGGACAUUUUGGGGCCAUUUUGUGACAUUUUGGGGACAAUUCUUGGGAUUUGGGGCCAUUUUGGGGACAAUUCUGGAGAUUUGGGGACAUUUGGGGGACAAUUCUGGGGAUUUGGGGACAAUUCUGGAUAUUUGGGGGAUUUUGGGGCCAUUUUUGAGGAUUUUGGGUCCUUUCGGGGACAUUUGGGGCCAUUUCAGGGAACUUUGGUGCCAAUUUGGGACAUUUGGGGACAUUUUGGGGACAUUUGGGGCCGUUUUUUGUCCAUUUAGGGCCAUUUUAGAGGUUUUGGGCUCCAUUUGGUGACAUUUUGGGGACAUUUGCUGCCAUUUUGGUGCCAUUUGGGGACAUUUGGCUCAAUUUGGGGCCAUUUUGGGGACAUUUGGUGCCAUUUUGAGGACAUUUAGUGACAUUUUGGGGACAUUUGGGGCCAUUUCAGGGAACCUUGGGGCCAUUUUGGGGCCAUUUUAGGUCCUUUUGGGGACAUUUGGGGCCAUUUUGGGGACAUUUGGGGCGGUUUUUUUUGUCUAUUUGGGGCCAUUUUGGGGGAUUUUGGUGCCAUUUGGGGACAUUUUGGGGCCAUUUGGGGCCAUUUCAGGGGAUUUUGGGGCCAUUUCAGGGGAUUUUGGUGCCAUUUUGGUGCCAUUUGGUGCCAUUUGGGAGGAUUUUGGUGCCAUUUGGGGACAUUUGGGGCCAUUUCAGGGGAUUUUGGUGCCAUUUUGGUGCCAUUUUGGUGCCAUUUGGGGCCAUUUUGGGGCCAUUUCAGGGGAUUUUGGUGCCAUUUGGGGGGAUUUUGGUGCCAUUUGGGGACAUUUUGGCGACAUUUUGGUGCCAUUUGGGAGGAUUUUGGUGCCAUUUGGGGACAUUUGGGGCCAUUUCAGGGGAUUUUGGUGCCAUUUCGGGGGAUUUUGGUGCCAUUUUGGGGGAUUUUGGUGCCAUUUGGUGCCAUUUGGGGCCAUUUUGGUGCCAUUUCAGGGGAUUUUGGUGCCAUUUCGGGGGAUUUUGGUGCCAUUUGGUGCCAUUUUGGUGACAUUUCGGUGCCCUCUGUCCCCUCAGGUGUCACCAUGAAGUUCUGGGUGGCGCUGGCGGCGCUGACGCUGCUGGCGGAACCAUCGUGCAGGAGUUCCGGGGGCUGCACUCAGAGCUCCGGGCUCGGGCGGCCGAGUACGGGCAGGAGGCGCGGGCGCUGCUGGAGCUCGGCCUGGGCGACCUCCGGGCCCGCGGCGCCGCCUUCGCCAGAAAGUUCCGGAAACGCCUCGGCCGAGNNNNNNNNNNNNNNNNNNNNGCGCUGGGAGGGGGGGGCUGCGGCCAUCAGGGCCCUCUGGGAGAGACCCCAGACCCAGGGAGAGACCCCCUGAGCUGGGGAGGGGGAGAUGGAAAUAAACAGUGAUGGAGAAAUGGGAAAAAAAAUGGU